GCAUAUCAAUAAAGCGGAGGGAAAAGAAACCAACAGGGAUUGCCCUAGUAACGGCGAGUGAAGCGGCAACAGCUCAAAUUUGAAAUCUGGCGCAAGCCCGAGUUGUAAUUUGUAGAGGAUGCUUCUGGGUAGCGACCGAUCUAAGUUCCUUGGAACAGGACGUCAUAGAGGGUGAGAAUCCCGUAUGUGACCGGCCCGCACCCUUUACGUAGCUCCUUCGACGAGUCGAGUUGUUUGGGAAUGCAGCUCUAAAUGGGAGGUAAAUUUCUUCUAAAGCUAAAUACCGGCCAGAGACCGAUAGCGCACAAGUAGAGUGAUCGAAAGAUGAAAAGUACUUUGGAAAGAGAGUUAAAAAGCACGUGAAAUUGUUGAAAGGGAAGCGCCUGCAACCAGACUUCGCGGCAGUGUUCCGCCGGUCUUCUGACCGGUUCAUUCUCUGUCGCGAGGCCAUCAUCGUCUGGGCCCGCCGGAUAAGACCUUAGGAAUGUAGCUCACCUUCGGGGGAGUGUUAUAGCCUAGGGUGAUGCGGCGAGGCUCGGGCGAGGUCCGCGCUUCGGCAAGGAUGAUGGCGUAAUGGUUGUCGGCGGCCCGUCUUGAAACACGGACCAAGGAGUCUAACAUCUAUGCGAGUGUUCGGGUGUCAAACCCCUACGCGUAAUGAAAGUGAACGGAGGUGGGAACCGCAAGGUGCACCAUCGACCGAUCCUGAUGUCCUCGGAUGGAUUUGAGUAAGAGCAUAGCUGUUGGGACCCGAAAGAUGGUGAACUAUGCCUGAAUAGGGUGAAGCCAGAGGAAACUCUGGUGGAGGCUCGCAGCGGUUCUGACGUGCAAAUCGAUCGUCAAAUUUGGGUAUAGGGGCGAAAGACUAAUCGAACCAUCUAGUAGCUGGUUCCUGCC
rnacentral:rRNA from 1 species